GUGAGGAAUUUUCCGCAAUGGGCGAAAGCCUGACGGAGCAAUGCCGCGUGAAGGAUGAAGGCCUAUGGGUUAUAAACUUCUUUUCUCAGAAAAGAAUUAUGACGGUAUCUGAGGAAUAAGCAUCGGCUAACUCUGUGCCAGCAGCCGCGGUAAGACAGAGGAUGCAAGCGUUAUCCGGAAUGAUUGGGCGUAAAGCGUCUGUAGGUUGUUUAAAAAGUAUUCUGUCAAAGAUUAGGGCUUAACCCUAGAUAGGCAGAAUAAACUUUUAAGCUAGAGUUUGGUAGAGGCAGAGGGAAUUCCCGGUGGAGCGGUGAAAUGCGUAGAUAUCGGGAGGAACACCAAAGGCGAAGGCACUCUGCUGGGCCAAUACUAACACUGAGAGACGAAAGCGAGGGGAGCAAAUGGGAUUAGAAACCCUGGUAGUCC
rnacentral:rRNA from 1 species